rnacentral:rRNA from 1 species
GAUGAACGCUGGCGGCGUGCUUAACACAUGCAAGUCGAACGGAAAGGCUCCUGCUUGCAGGGGUACUCGAGUGGCGAACGGGUGAGUAACACGUGGGUGAUCUGCCCUGCACUUCGGGAUAAGCCUGGGAAACUGGGUCUAAUACCGGAUAGGACGAUGGUUUGGAUGCCAUUGUGGAAAGUUUUUCGGUGUGGGGUGAGCUCGCGGCCUAUCAGCUUGUUGGUGGGGUAAUGGCCUACCAAGGCGUCGACGGGUAGCCGGCCUGAGAGGGUGUACGGCCACAUUGGGACUGAGAUACGGCCCAGACUCCUACGGGAGGCAGCAGUGGGGAAUAUUGCACAAUGGGCGCAAGCCUGAUGCAGCGACGCCGCGUGGGGGAUGACGGCCUUCGGGUUGUAAACUGCUUUCGCUAGGGACGAAGCGCAAGUGACGGUACCGGGAGAAGAAGCACCGGCUAACUACGUG